GAUGUACUCCCUCCGUCCAGAAAUACUUGUUAUUGAAAUGAAUGUAUCUAGAUGUAUUUUAAUUCUAGAUACAUCCAUUUUCAUCCAUUUAUGCGACAAGUAUUUCCGGACGGAGGGAGUAGUAU
rfam:Triticum aestivum genome assembly, contig: Triticum_aestivum_CS42_TGACv1_scaffold_222154_3B